rnacentral:rRNA from 1 species
AAUGAAAUCAUUGUGCUAUGGCUCUAGUAACUUUCAGGCAGUAGUGGGGAAUUCUCCGCAAUGGGAGAAAGUCCGACAGAGUAAUGCUGUGUAGAGGUAGAAGAGGCAAAGAAAGCAUCGGCUUUCUUUGUGCUAGCAGCCGCGGUAAAACAGAGGAUGCAAUCAUU